AAAAGCUGGGGAAACGUCGAACGGCGGUGGGAAUGAUGCUGUUGCAGAGAGUUCCGGUGAGUUUAAAGAAGAUAAAAUCAAGAGGAAGAAACUGAAGGGUAAAAGACAGGUUGUGAAGUGGUUGAAGUUCUUCAGGUGGAAGAAGAAGAAAGAGUUCCAAAGAAUGACAGCUGAAGAAAGAAUACUUUUCAAAUUGAGGAAGGCACGGAAGAAAGAGGAGAGGCUUGUUGAAGCUCUUAGGAAGGUUGAGCCUAAGGAGAUACCGGAGGCUACUCAUGACCCAGAAAUAUUGACACCAGAAGAACACUUCUACUUCCUGAAAAUGGGGGAGAAGUGCAAGAAUUAUGUACCAGUUGGAAGACGUGGGAUAUACCAGGGUGUGAUCCUUAAUAUGCACUUGCAUUGGAAGAAGCACCAAACUCUGAA
rnacentral:misc_RNA from 1 species